UUUUCUCUUUUUUGCCAGAAUUCUCUGCUAGUGCUUGACACUCUGUUUCUUUCUUAUUCUUCCUUUGUUUUCCUUAUCCUCUGACUCUAUCUAAUCUUUAGAUUAAUUGGGUCAUGGCAUGUCUUGCCCAUCUUUUCUUCAUAUUUCAUCUUCACCUUUCUUCUUUUUGAUUGCUUGUCUUUUUGACUUUGUUAAAGGAUCAAACUGUUAUACUCAGGAGAUUUCAAACUUCAUAGUUUAGUGGCAAAAAUACAUUAGAUUUGCGAGAAUUUUGCCUUUUUCUUAUUGUUGAAUUCUUUUUACAAUGGAACAACAGGCAUAAAGGAU
rnacentral:lncRNA from 1 species